AUUUACUUCCGGAAAGUGCAGAAGAAGAGCAACACACGAAAAAGACGCGGGAAGACAGACAAGUUGGGGAAGGUGGUAAGAUAUUCAAGACCAAGUUUCCUCUGUCAUCAAGCAAAACCUGUUUCAUCAACCAAGUGACUGCAGUAUAGGGUCAUCCACCAAUAAGUGUGUGGAGCCAUUCACCUCAACUGCCAUCCCUUCGCAAAAGUGUCCCAGAAAAGGGGGUCGUCUGCCAGUGACAGGCCUGAGUGUAUAAAUAUAGUGGUGGGAAAUGGCUGCUUCAGUGAAGCUCAGAAUUAUAAUAGGAGAAAACAAUUCCCAGAGACUGAUUUUACAAAAUGGACUUCCAGCGACUGUUCCUGAACUUGUUGAUCACAUUAAGAAGCAGUGUGGAGUACAGUUUGACUUCAUGCUUCAGUUCAUGGAUGCUGAUUUUGGCA